CACGUAGGCGGUGAUGUAAGUCUGAGGUGAAAACCCGAAGCUCAACUUCGGGACUGCCUUGGAUACUGCGUCACUUGAGGAUAGGAGAGGCAAGGGGAAUUCCACGUGUAGCGGUGAAAUGCGUAGAGAUGUGGAGGAACACCUGUGGCGAAGGCGCCUUGCUGGCCUAUUUCUGACGCUGAGGCGCGAAAGCGUGGGGAGCAAACA
rnacentral:rRNA from 1 species